rnacentral:rRNA from 1 species
GUGAACGCUGGCGGCGUGCUUAACACAUGCAAGUCGAGCGAUAUUUGACAGCGUAUCGUCAGGUAUAGCGGCAGACGGGUGAGUAAUACUUGGGCAAUCUGCCCUUGAGUGGGGGACAACCUGCCGAAAGGCGGGCUAAUACCCCAUAAGACCACAGGGAUGCAUAUUCCAGGGGUCAAAGCUCCGCAAGGGGCGCUUGAGGAGGAGCCCGAGUCCUAUCAUGGUAGUUGGCGGGGUAAUGGCCCACCAAGCCGUUGACGGGUAGCCGGCCUGAAAGGGCAAACGGCCACACUGGCACUGAGACACGGGCCAGACUCCUACGGGAGGCAGCAGUGGGGAAUUUUGGACAAUGGGGGCAACCCUGAUCCAGCGACGCCGCGUGGAGGAUGAAGGUCUUCGGAUUGUAAACUCCUUUGGAGGGAUGAAUGGCUUGGUGAAUAGCCAAGCGUGACAGUACUCACAGAAGAAGCACCGGCUAACUACGUGCCAGCCGCCG